GCUUCCCCGCCUCCCUCGCCUCGGUGCGCCCGCGCCCGCGCUCGCUCGGCCGCUGCUCGUCUCGGCUCCCCGCCUCGCCUCGCCUCGCCGCAACCGCCCGCCCUGGCCGCGCCUCCUCCCGCCCUCCGGGCCGGCGCUCCGCUUCCCCCUUCCUCCUGCGCCUCCGCCUCCUUCCACACAAAUACCAACUCCUCAACCCGAGCCCAGAUCUCGCCGCCGCCGCCACACUCUGCUCGGGCCCGGCCUCGCGAGACUUCCGCGCUGGCCUCAGCCCGCCCCGCCUCGCUGCCACUCGCCCGUUCGCCCUCUCGAUUCUCCUCUCGGCCAAUCGAUCUG
rnacentral:lncRNA from 10 species